rnacentral:rRNA from 1 species
CGCUGUCUCGACCGUGAACUCGGCGAAAUUGCACUACGAGUAAAGAUGCUCGUUUCGCGCAGAAGGACGGAAAGACCCCGGGACCUUUACUAUAGCUUGGUAUUGGUGUUCGCUUGUGCUUGUGUAGGAUAGGUGGGAGACUGUGAAGCCUGGGCGCCAGCUUGGGUGGAGUCGUCGUUGAAAUACCAUUCUGGUGCAAGUGUGCAUCUAACCUCGGCCCGUAAUCCGGGUUGGGGACAGUGCCUGGUGGGUAGUUUAACUGGGGCGGUUGCCUCCUAAAAAGUAACGGAGGCGCUCAAAGGUUCCCUCAGCCUGGUUGGUAAUCAGGUGGCGAGUGCAAGUGCACAAGGGAGCUUGACUGUGAGACCGACGGGUCGAGCAGGUGCGAAAGCAGGAACUAGUGAUCCGGCCAUGGCACGUGGGUGCGUGGUCGCUCAACGGAUAAAAGGUACCCCGGGGAUAACAGGCUGAUCUUGCCCAAGAGUCCAUAUCGACGGCAUGGUUUGGCACCUCGAUGUCGGCUCGUCGCAUCCUGGGGCUGGAGUUGGUCCCAAGGGUUGGGCUGUUCGCCCAUUAAAGCGGUACGCGAGCUGGGUUUAGAACGUCGUGAGACAGUUCGGUCCCUAUCCUCUGUGCGCGCAGGAAACUUGAGAAG